AGUGAUGUAUCUUCGGGACCCACAAUCACUCAAAACAUCUUGGUGACAGGAUGGCAAAGCCAAGUAGCUCCAAGUGCUGGAGGGUGAAGGCACUUUAAGCACAGAUCACUGGCUGCUACGGCCCUAACACAGGGUGAAAUAAGGUGGAGCAUGAAGCUGGGGGCCAGAGUAACCCCGUGAUGCUGGCAGCAGGAGACGCUACUUGCUUGCUUCUCCCACUGCUGAAGACCACACAGCAGUCCUUGCACCAGCCUUGAGGAGUCCUCUGCGUGGGAGCUCUGCUCUGCAGGAGCCGAGCUUUCUUAAGACUGAAAAAAAUGGAGGAGGGGUGUGUGAAAUCAAACCAUAAACGAGCUCGGAGCAGUGGCACCCUGUGACCUGGCUGGCAAAUGGAGUAGCGUAAGUGUAACGCGCACGCUGACGGUGAGAGAGAGAAUUAUCACAGAGCUGAGGAGACACCUGGAUCAGAGCUUCAAAAGUCACUGCUUUUUUGUUCCUGUUCUGAAACCACGUGUCACAGACGUGCUGGAAUACCAGCACACACGGAAGCAUAGCUGUCGCUCUUUUGUAGCACCCUUGCCUUGGCGCUCUGCAUGCCAGAAAAGGAAAUGCCCGGCCUCUUCUUCUAGAUGAUCUUGUACAGAGGGAGCCAUCUUGGAUCAGUUGGAAUUAGUGUGAUAUGUUAUCACUCCUAUCAGAUAAUGGGUACCUGUAUCUGUUUCUGUAGGAAUACAGGUUUUCAGUGGACUUUGCUCUGAGUUCCUCUCAGGUUUGUAUGGAUCCUCCCUCCAGACACUGCCAGAUUAUGAGUCUAUAUAGUUUUCAGGGGAAUGUUUGCCAUUCUUUAUGCUGCCAUGCUUCCUUCCAGCUCUGUAUCUUGCUUUGAAAUUCUCACCUUCUAGGCCAGAUAGCGAAAGGCUGUUUAGUACUGGUCACUGAGGAGUUUGAAUUGUCAAGGUGUUCUUUGAUGAAUUCUGGUAGAGAUUAAACAGGUGUAAUGGCUGGGUUACCAAGUGCUCAACAAGGUGAUUUGCUGCAACAGGCACAUAGUCCCUUUCCUCCAUCCAUGUUAUACCAAUGUGCAACCCCACCUUAUACUGUGCUCCUCAAUGACCACCUCACAGGCAAUACCAUGGAUGAGAAAUGAAGCAAUGAAGA